ensembl:lncRNA
GCGGGGGCGACCCUCAGAGGGGAGCGGGCUGAUCAUGGGCUCGUGCACACGUGUGCAGAGAUGCUUGACCCACGUGCCUUGGAUUUUUGGCACACCCUUUGGCACCGAAAAGGACAUAUCCGGACAUUUAGGCACGUGCAUGCGGCUUCUGAGCCUAGGGUCUCUGUCUCCUGCACUUUCAGCCAGUGUGUGCCCGCCAUCUGGAGGCACAUCAUCCUUCUCCCAUCACCACCUCGGUGGCGUAGUCUGGUGGCUAACUUGUAGGACAGGCAAUUAGAAGAGCUAUUGCUAGCUCUGCCACAGACUUUCCAUUGUGGCCUCGGGCAAGUCACUUAAGCCCAGAUCCUUCAAGGUGUUUAGGUGCCUAACUCUUAUUGACUUCAAUGACAGGUGCUUACACAUCUUUGAAGAUCUGGGCCGUCAACUCUCUGUACCACAUUCCCCCGUAUCAGUAGCACUGGACUACAGGGUAAUAUCUGCUCCACAAUUAUUUCUGUUUGUGUUUUGAGAUCCUCAGGGGCUUGAUGCAUGUAAAGGAGUGGCUUGUACAAGGAUGCAAAUAGUUGAGCUAUAGAUUUUAAUAAUAAAUUAUAGGAAGGAUUAUAAUGAGUGGAAUCAGAGUUUGGAACUGGGAAAAACUGAUGCCUCUGAGGAUGAAGCAAUGGAACAAAUUGAGAAACUCUGGCAUAAUAAAGCACAAGAUCAGAUGGUAUUCGUCCAGGGAUGUGGAGGAGGAUCUGAAGGAAAUAGCAGGUGAAAUACCGGAAAUACUGACAAGGAUAUGUAAUAUACAGUAUAUGCUGAAGAAAGAUUCAGGAAACCUGGCAAUGGGAUCUCCAUACCUGAAAGAUGAACAAAUAAUGAAAACUGACAUUUUCAGUGUCUCUUAUCCAGAGAUCCCAAAGCAGUCAACAGACUUUAAAACCAUAACCCCAGUCCUGCAAGCAACAUGUGCAAGACACUACCACUAAGCAGAGUGGGAGUUCUGUGCAAUACAAUGUGAGAAUUGAUAAUAUGUAAUAACAGAGCAAAUGCUGAGAUAGUCUUUAUUUCCUGUUAUUCUAUUCAGUCAUUUACUUAAAAAAAUUAUGAAAUGUAUUACUUGCAGUUCUUGACAGAAGAUGAGGACACAUUCAUUCAGAGGUACAGUAGCAUGUUCCUAUCAUCCUUUUCUGCCCCUUAAAAUAUUUUUGUUUAUCAUCCUUUUCUGCCCCUUAAAAUAUUUGCAAACAAUUGUCAUGUUGCCCUCGUACUAGCCAUUUAGCUAAUCUAGAUACAAUGCUCUUUCUUUUUUCAUGUUAUUCCAUUCAGCCCUUUAAUAGGGGCGGGGGGUCUUUCCUCUCUGAAUUUUCUGCCAGUUUACUAACAUUUCAGGUAUGAACUCAACCGGAACAGAGUUCAAUAUUGUAGGUGAAUUUCACUAGUUCUGUACAGGGCAGGACAAUUACCUUUGGACUUAUUUGGUCCAUGGCAUCACUUUUGGUAGCAAUAGAAAUGAAAGUGUCGCUUUGUCAACUCCCUUUACCUUUUCAUAAGAAGAGUACUUUUACCCAGGGUCUUGAGAGAAAAACUGUUAUUUCCUGUCUUUUGUUUAGUCUUCUCCUAUGUCAGACGGCAAGAGAUCAGCCACUUCAUCACCACUUUGCGUAAUUUUCAUCUAAUUUUCGUUGGGUGAAAUUCUCCCCUAUGCAGAAGGUCCACACAAGGGCUGUCUACCACUUAUGUCCCACCUAAACCAUGUUGUGAGGCCUUAACUAGAACUUAAGUGAUGCAUAGGACCUGUGUGGCUCCUCUGCACAGGGGCAAAUUUCUCCCAUUGUGAGCCUAUAUUUUGGUCAGUGAGGAGAGGUAAGACACAGGAGUUUCAUUGGCUCAGAAAUCCAAAUCAUGAUUUGUUUGUGUGCUCAAUAGUCUCUCACUUUCUUCCCAAGGCUAGCAAGAGCAGAAACACUGCAGGGAGGGUGACUAAGGAAGGAGAGAGUGCAUCAUUUUCCGACAACUUCCUACUGCUAUUCAAAUGGAGUUUCACUGAUCAACUUAAAGAGGGAAGUCCUGUGAGUCAAGGAAACUCCUGAGCUGUAAGGCCUUAGGAGGAGAAGUACUUCACAGAAGUUUACUGGAAAGAAAAUCUUCCAUUUUCUCCUAAAUCAAACCCAGGUCUCUCUCAUUACAGCUAAGAGUGCUAACCAUCUGACUGGUCCAGAAAUCCACAUUAAAGUCAAACAAAACUAAAUAUAGUGGUUACAAGGGUAGGUAUCAUAUGCUCACUGGGUGAUAGAUCUGUGCUAUAACUGAACCAGGAAAACUCCUCUCAGAAUUCCUUGGUUAAUCAUCUGGGGACAGACUGUAACCAGGUGAGUUCGGCACCUAACCUACAGAGGCACUUCUGAGAAUCAAACUAGGCACCUAUCUGCAUCUUUAGGAGCCUAAAUACCUUUGAAAAUCUGGCCCCUGGUCUCCAAGACCCAGAUCCUCAACUGUAUUAAGGAGCCUAACUCCCACUGAAAUCAGUGUGAGUGAGGUGCCUAUAUACAUUUGAGGAUCUGGGCCCAAGUGGCUUGGUUGGCCGUGUAGUGUUUUAAAGACUGCUGUCAAGAUCAGGGCCUACAUUGCAAAAGUGAUUAGUGAUUUUUGGCACCCCUAAAUAGAUGCUUAAAAGGGACCUGAUUUUCAGCAGGUGGGUGCUUGGCACUUUAUAAAAACCAAGCCCCAUACAGUGUCUAAAAGUGGGCCCCCCAAAACUGAGGCACCCUAAACCACUAGCAAUGUUUGAAAAUGUAGGCACUGUUCCCUGUUAUCCAAUGCCUUGUGAAGUUCCUCCUCCCUCACACUCUAAAAAAUCUGCUUAUCAACAGAACAUGCUUUAUAUGUACAGUUUAUAGAUUGAGACCAAAAUUUUCAAUUGUAGCUGCUUUAACGUUACGCAUCUAAAUAAAAGUGGUCUGGUUUGUUUUCA